UACGUAGGUGGCAAGCGUUGUCCGGAUUUACUGGGCGUAAAGCGCGUGUAGGCGGCUAUGUAAGUCGGGCGUGAAAGCCCACGGCUCAACCGUGGAAGUGCACCCGAAACUGCGUAGCUAGAGUCCUGGAGAGGAAGGUGGAAUGCUUGGUGUAGAGGUGAAAUUCGUAGAUAUCAAGCGGAACACCGGUGGCGAAGGCGGCCUUCUGGACAGUGACUGACGCUGAGACGCGAAAGCGUGGGGAGCAAACAGG
rnacentral:rRNA from 1 species